rnacentral:rRNA from 1 species
GAUACCCCAGGUCAGGC